rnacentral:rRNA from 1 species
UACGUAGGGUGCGAGCGUUGUCCGGAAUUAUUGGGCGUAAAGAGCUCGUAGGCGGUGUGUCACGUCGGCCGUGAAAACCUGCAGCUUAACUGUGGGCGUGCGGUCGAUACGGGCAUCACUGGAGUUCGGCAGGGGAGACUGGAAUUCCUGGUGUAGCGGUGAAAUGCGCAGAUAUCAGGAGGAACACCGGUGGCGAAGGCGGGUCUCUGGGCCGAUACUGACGCUGAGACGCGAAAGCGUGGGGAGCAAACAGG